AGAGCGGCACUCACCUCGUCGAGCGACAUGGCGCAGAGCGACCUCCUUCCAAGCCGGCAGACACUGCUGACUGCUCUGCGGGCUCUAGCAGACUGACUGCCCGCCCGGCCUUCACCUGCUGGAAUAGGAGAGGGGGGAAGCACAAGAUGGCCGCGUGCCCACCUAAUCAGCGCCUCGAGACUAGCAGAGAACCAUCUGCAGUGUCCGCGGUGCUUGGAAGCCAAACUGACGAGCCAAGGCCAGUGGGGCUCCUGCCAAGCUGUUCACAUCCAGAGUAGUACAUUUUCCGGCCGAGGCAGUUCCGACAUGGGUACCCUGUCGUCUGACACAGAGCAUCAACACACACGUGGUUCGGUUAUUUGGGAAUUUAACUUUUAAAGCUUAAGUAAAGGGAUAGGUUAAAUAGACCAAAUCCAUUAGUUAAAUAUGUUAAGAUAAGUAACUGUAUACCAAUCUUGUCACAUCCAUCAUUUUGGCCUCGGCCAGUGCUAAACUGUGAAACUCUCCGAAUUUUGGUGUUAUUUCCAGGUUUCAGAACUUUUGCGAGUGAAUUAUUCGUGUCAAGACCUAUCUUUGUGCUUCAGGCUUUAUUUUAAGCUGCCAUGAGUUUGAUUUUGUUUAAUAACUAUGUCAAUAUCUGUUCUUGCAUCUUCUUGCAAACACGUCAACAAUCACCACAUUGAAUAUGAUAACCCAACCAUGGAUCGAGUGGAUGGAUGAAUCAAGAGUUGUGAAAAUGGUUUUAUUUCACUUCCUAUUUUCAAGCAGAAUUAUUAUUAUAUUUUCAGAAUCAUUUGGGGUUGCUAACCUUAUUUAUUUUUAUUUUGAACAUAGUGUGGAUACACAUUUGCCUUACUUCGUUCAACAGAAUUUGUUCAUCGCAUAUGCAGCAAAGGACUCUGAAAUCUAUCUAUAUGAACCAUUUACCCAACUGAAGGUUGCCAUAGUCGUGAAUGCAGCAAUACAAAACCUUAUUCUGACCAUAUACCUACUCAAUCAAGUUAUUUGAAUUUAGAGUAAGCUGUAUUCAGUUUUUUCGCUGUUUGUUUUUCCACAUGAUACCUAAAUGAUUCAAAUAACGUCAUGGACAAACACUUGGCUUCCCAGCCAAGAACACACCCAGUUCGACGACAAUCUGAUGCAGCAAGGCACUUGUCCCAGACUGGGUCUGAAGACAGGAAAAUGUCUACAUCUAAGUGAACGCCACCAAAUCACCUAUGAAUAUUCAAAGUUCUACAUCCAUGCCAUAAGGCUCUGUUCAAAAUAACCCAACGCCAUCUCCAAAACCUUUAAUUUCAACAGAAACACAAUUUGGUGCAAUACAAUGGUCUAAUGCACCAAAGAGCUGACAUACCACUUCUACAGCCUGUCCACCCUUAUUUACGCCAUACAUAGCGGACCUCUAUGUUCCCAGCCCAUUUCAACUGACUUCUAUACUGCUGACACUCUGCUGUCCUGUGCAGGGGAAGAUGCCAGGGUUCAAGAUGGUCUCCGCUAUGUGCAAGUAAUAACUUACUUGAAAACGGCUCGGAAGAUUUUGUUAAAAUUUACGAAAUACUUUAGUUUUCAAGGGAAAUUUUUGCUUUGAAACCCAACAGUAGGUCACAUUAGAUGCUACAGAAAAAUAACGUGAAUUAAUUUAUAUUAAUGCCAUUUUAUUGCAGUUAUUUACUGUUUGGUAAAUGGUGUGGACACACACAUACAUAAACAUGUACCCUUUGCAGAAAAGUUAAAAUACUAACUUUUAAAACUUUCUUCACUACACUUUUGUAAGCAUAGUGCGUACAGGGGUUUGCCUAACAUGAAUUGUUUAUAUCUUUUUUUUUUGUAAAUCAGGCCAAUUAUUUAACUGUUUUUUAUCUAUGGAGAAAUUUUUGCUUUCUCUCUGGACAAUGAUGUUUUGUACAUAAUUGAAGUUGGUGACAGCUAUUUUUGGAAUUUGGAAUUUCGUUUUGCUGAAAUAUAAUUUGUUUCUUAUAAAACCUUGUGCUAUCUGAACAUGUUUUUAUGUAAUUAAUUUUUAAAUUUAAAUGAUGUUAUUUUGCGCAGGUUUCACAGGACUUUGGCAGAUAAGUUAUGAUUUUUAUUGCUGAUCUCUUUAAUCAUUUUUUUAGCCUGUCAUGUUGUAAGGUACUGGUUUUGCGCAAAACUGAUGGUUUAAAGAAUCAUUGUGUUGUUUGAAAGUUAUAUGAAUAUUCUAGUUAUUCCAGAAGGACGAAACUCCUUUGGGGACUUCUGGCAACCAUGGGGCUAAUAGUGAUGCUAGUGAAGAUUUAAUCAUUUCUGCAUUAAUAUUGAGUCUAGCACUUGUAUGUCUGGUAUUAUUAAUAUCUGAAUAUACUAAGGUUUUUACAGUUUUUGUCAUGAGCUUAACUUUUGUGUGUGACUUAUGCUUUUGAGAGAUGAAGCCAUAUUGGGACUGUGGUAAGCUUAACUGCACAUGUACAAAGGAAGCCAUUUAAGUUUCUUUGUCUUCCUGGCUUAAUUUCUUGGAAAGAUUUAUGUCAAAACAAGUUAUAUGCUACAUAUCCAUCUGUAAUGAGAUUAAUUUUCAUUCUGGCAAAAUAUUUUUAGGCACCAAAUUUUAAAGGAAAAAAAACUUUGCUCAUGAGAACUUGUGUAAUAUCUCUGUGUAUGGGAUAAAGGGUAUUAGUGUGAACCUUGAGCUAACAAACAGAUUAUUUAUUUUAUCAUUGAAAAUGAAACCCUGAUAACUAUAUGUUUAAUUUAAAUUUCUUAAAUUGAUUUGAAAAUUGAAAUUAUUCAUCUGAAAAGUGAUUUAUUCGUGUCUAACCUAACAAUUAGUUAGAACAUAAUAAUUUUUUUAAAAUAUUUCUAUAUCAUUUAAACAGGUUCUGAUACUUUAUCUAAAUAUUAUAUAUCUAUGUCUUUUCAUGUGUUAUAUGCGAGUGUCCAUAUUUGCAGUGUUAUGUGUAUAUAAUUGUCAUGGUAUUUAUCAGUGUGUUAUGUAUACUUCGUAUGCGUAAUGUUCUGAAUUUAAAUAAUAUUACUGAAGUAAAGAAUACACUUAGUAAAUUUACGCUACUAUAUUUUUGUCUCCGGGAGGGGAAACAAUAAAGGGUUGUGCUCGAGGGAAACCAGACAAUUGGCUUGUGAGAUUCACACAUUUUAUUAUCUGCGAAUAUGUGGUUAAUAAAGACAAACAGAUAAAUCUGGAGUACUUAAUUGGUCUUUUGCACAUGUUAUUUGUUUCUUGGCUUGCUCACAUUUGCACAUCAUGUGCCUAUCAACAAACAUAUAUGGAUUAUUACUUACAAAUCGUACAUCAACUUUAACAUAUAGUGAAAUAUUAUUUUUCUGAAAAAUAAAUAAAGUGAAUAAUUAUGUUUAAAAUAAUUAUUGCCUCCAAUAAUUACAAUAGCAAACAUGAAUGAAUAUAAAAAUCCCAUACGUUAAAUGAAACUAAGCCAA